rnacentral:lncRNA from 1 species
AACUAAAUGGUAGAAAUCCUUUUGAACUCUCUGUGUAAAUCACUUCUUUCUACUUACUUGCUGUGCUUCUCUGAGUGCCUCGUGGCCUCUUUAUCACCACCUGUUGAAGGAAAUGUUAGAUCCAGAUAUGGAUGGAAGGGACUUUCGUAGCUAUAGAAACGAGGACUGAUUGGCACAAAGUUCCUGGGCUCUCCAGCCACAGUCGUCAUUUGGAAGGGAAUUCUAAGUCACCAGAGAGCUAACACUUAUUCUUGGGAGAAUGUAAGAGCAAAUCCUCCUUACGCUGCCAAACUGGCACAGGAUACUGCAGCCACUCUGCAAAUGAACAGUGCACAAUAAACAGGCCGAGAGAGAAAGCUUAAAGUUCUAAAAGCCCUCUUGAGGGAAGUGAGAAGGCAGUUCCUGGGAACAGUGAACAAAUGCCGUCAGAAGGUGGAAUCAUUGAUUUCAAUCAUGAAUGACUAAUGAUCGUGAUGGUGUGGUUUAGAACAGAAAUGCAGCUUCUACAGCCUGAAGAACUACCAGCCUUCUCUCCUGUGAUGUUCCAUUUAUACUUGCUUAAUAAAAGCAUCCCAAUAAAUUAGACCAUC